rnacentral:rRNA from 1 species
CAACCCGAUGCAAACUGCGAAUACCGGAGAAUGUUAUCACGGGAGACACACGGCGGGUGCUAACGUCCGUCGUGAAGAGGGAAACAACCCAGACCGCCAGCUAAGGUCCCAAAGUCAUGGUUAAGUGGGAAACGAUGUGGGAAGGCCCAGACAGCCAGGAUGUUGGCUUAGAAGCAGCCAUCAUUUAAAGAAAGCGUAAUAGCUCACUGGUCGAGUCGGCCUGCGCGGAAGAUGUAACGGGGCUAAACCAUGCACCGAAGCUGCGGCAGCGACGCUUAUGCGUUGUUGGGUAGGGGAGCGUUCUGUAAGCCUGUGAAGGUGUGCUGUGAGGCAUGCUGGAGGUAUCAGAAGUGCGAAUGCUGACAUAAGUAACGAUAAAGCGGGUGAAAAGCCCGCUCGCCGGAAGACCAAGGGUUCCUGUCCAACGUUAAUCGGGGCAGGGUGAGUCGACCCCUAAGGCGAGGCCGAAAGGCGUAGUCGAUGGGAAACAGGUUAAUAUUCCUGUACUUGGUGUUACUGCGAAGGGGGGACGGAGAAGGCUAUGUUGGCCGGGCGACGGUUGUCCCGGUUUAAGCGUGUAGGCUGGUUUUCCAGGCAAAUCCGGAAAAUCAAGGCUGAGGCGUGAUGACGAGGCACUACGGUGCUGAAGCAACAAAUGCCCUGCUUCCAGGAAAAGCCUCUAAGCAUCAGGUAACAUCAAAUCGUACCCCAAACCGACACAGGUGGUCAGGUAGAGAAUACCAAGGCGCUUGAGAGAACUCGGGUGAAGGAACUAGGCAAAAUGGUGCCGUAACUUCGGGAGAAGGCACGCUGAUAUGUAGGUGAAGUCCCUCGCGGAUGGAGCUGAAAUCAGUCGAAGAUACCAGCUGGCUGCAACUGUUUAUUAAAAACACAGCACUGUGCAAACACGAAAGUGGACGUAUACGGUGUGACGCCUGCCCGGUGCCGGAAGGUUAAUUGAUGGGGUCAGCGCAAGCGAAGCUCUUGAUCGAAGCCCCGGUAAACGGCGGCCGUAACUAUAACGGUCCUAAGGUAGCGAAAUUCCUUGUCGGGUAAGUUCCGACCUGCACGAAUGGCGUAAUGAUGGCCAGGCUGUCUCCACCCGAGACUCAGUGAAAUUGAACUCGCUGUGAAGAUGCAGUGUACCCGCGGCAAGACGGAAAGACCCCGUGAACCUUUACUAUAGCUUGACACUGAACAUUGAGCCUUGAUGUGUAGGAUAGGUGGGAGGCUUAGAAGUGUGGACGCCAGUCUGCAUGGAGCCGACCUUGAAAUACCACCCUUUAAUGUUUGAUGUUCUAACGUUGACCCGUAAUCCGGGUUGCGGACAGUGUCUGGUGGGUAGUUUGACUGGGGCGGUCUCCUCCUAAAGAGUAACGGAGGAGCACGAAGGUUGGCUAAUCCUGGUCGGACAUCAGGAGGUUAGUGCAAUGGCAUAAGCCAGCUUGACUGCGAGCGUGACGGCGCGAGCAGGUGCGAAAGCAGGUCAUAGUGAUCCGGUGGUUCUGAAUGGAAGGGCCAUCGCUCAACGGAUAAAAGGUACUCCGGGGAUAACAGGCUGAUACCGCCCAAGAGUUCAUAUCGACGGCGGUGUUUGGCACCUCGAUGUCGGCUCAUCACAUCCUGGGGCUGAAGUAGGUCCCAAGGGUAUGGCUGUUCGCCAUUUAAAGUGGUACGCGAGCUGGGUUUAGAACGUCGUGAGACAGUUCGGUCCCUAUCUGCCGUGGGCGCUGGAGAACUGAGGGGGGCUGCUCCUAGUACGAGAGGACCGGAGUGGACGCAUCACUGGUGUUCGGGUUGUCAUGCCAAUGGCACUGCCCGGUAGCUAAAUGCGGAAGAGAUAAGUGCUGAAAGCAUCUAAGCACGAAACUUGCC